rnacentral:rRNA from 1 species
GACGAACGCUGGCGGCGUGCCUAACACAUGCAAGUGGAGCGACGAACCAGGCUUCGGCCUGGGGAAAGCCGCGAACGGGUGAGUAACGCGUGGGUAACCUGCCCCGAUGACUGGGACAACCCGAGGAAACUCGGGCUAAUACCAGAUGUGUUCGUAGACUUUCUGGUCUACGAACAAAGGAAGCUUCGGCCUCCGCAUCGGGAUGGGCCCGCGUCCCAUUAGCUAGUUGGUGAGGUAACGGCUUACCAAGGCAACGAUGGGUAGCUGGUCUGAGAGGAUGAUCAGCCACACUGGGACUGAGACACGGCCCAGACUCCUACGGGUGGCUG